rnacentral:ncRNA from 1 species
UUGUUAGUGGGAAGAAGUCUGUGUCUUUGGCUUCUUUUGAUGCUACCGCUGCACUUAAAACAACAGUGUCCCCAUAACGCACUAAUACAGCACCAUUGGCUUGUUUCGCUAAUUGGCCAAUUUCUACUGAUAAGGGACGACCUCCCCAUGUUGUACUAAAUACUUGCUUUGUCAUAAACUCUCCUUUUCUGCUGCGAGUCUCGGCUGCUACUAAACAAAUGAAAACACAAAAGAAACUUUUAUUCUUUCAUUUGGUUAGUAGUGAGCCUUGCCGACUGUCACAGUCUUUUUUCAUCGUGUAGCUAAGUACCAUAGCAAAAAAGUGAGAUUCGCUUGAACCUCACUUU